GACGAACGCUGGCGGCGUGCCUAAUACAUGCAAGUUGAGCGCUGAAGGUUGGUACUUGUACCGACUGGAUGAGCAGCGAACGGGUGAGUAACGCGUGGGGAAUCUGCCUUUGAGCGGGGGACAACAUUUGGAAACGAAUGCUAAUACCGCAUAAAAACUUUAAACACAAGUUUUAAGUUUGAAAGAUGCAAUUGCAUCACUCAAAGAUGAUCCCGCGUUGUAUUAGCUAGUUGGUGAGGUAAAGGCUCACCAAGGCGAUGAUACAUAGCCGACCUGAGAGGGUGAUCGGCCACAUUGGGACUGAGACACGGCCCAAACUCCUACGGGAGGCAGCAGUAGGGAAUCUUCGGCAAUGGACGAAAGUCUGUCCGAGCAACGCCGCGUGAGUGAAGAAGGUUUUCGGAUCGUAAAACUCUGUUGGUAGAGAAGAACGUUGGUGAGAGUGGAAAGCUCAUCAAGUGACGGUAACUACCCAGAAAGGGACGGCUAACUACGUG
rnacentral:rRNA from 1 species